rnacentral:rRNA from 1 species
GACGAACGCUGGCGGCGUGCUUAACACAUGCAAGUCGAACGGAAAGGCCCUGCUUUUGUGGGGUGCUCGAGUGGCGAACGGGUGAGUAACACGUGAGUAACCUUCCCUUGACUUUGGGAUAACUUCAGGAAACUGGGGCUAAUACCGGAUAUGAGCUCCUGCUGCAUGGUGGGGGUUGGAAAGUUUCGGCGGUUGGGGAUGGACUCGCGGCUUAUCAGCCUGUUGGUGGGGUAGUGGCUUACAAAGGCUUUGACGGGUAGCCGGCCUGAGAGGGUGACCGGCCACAUAGGGACUGAGAUACGGCCCAGACUCAUACGGGAGGCAGGAGGGGGGAAGAUUGCACAAUGGGCGGAAGCCUGAUGCAGCAACGCCGCGUGCGGGAUGACGGCCUUCGGGUUGUAAACCACUUUCGCCUGUGACGAAGAGUGAGUGACGGUAAUGGAUAAAGAAGCACCGGCUAACUACGUG